CAAGGUGUUGGCAUUUCAAACAGUGGUAUAUGUGUUGCUGAUACUGUCAAGGCAAAGGUGUUCAAAGAUGUCUUCGUGGAAAUGAAUAUACCAUAUUCUGUUGUACGAGGAGAACAGAUCCAAUUGAAAGGAACUGUUUACAACUAUAGGACUUCUGGGAUGCAGAGUCUCACCCUGUCGCCCAGGCUGGAGUGCAAUGGCAAGAUCUCUGCUCACUGCAAGCUCCGCCUGGCAGGUUCAAGCGAUUCUCCUCCCUCAGCCUCCCAAGUAGCUGGGAUUACAGGCACACACCACCAUGCCCAGCCAACUUGACAGCAUUUUAAAGUGUCAUGCAUAUCACUAUACUGCCAUAUUUUAUUUAAUCUUUAAAUUAUCAGUGCAUUUCCAUCAUAUCAAAAUAAGAAACAAGUACAUCUGUGAUAUUUUGAGCUUAGUUCCUGUUAAUUACCUUUCCUCCUGAGUGUGGGUUACACUUUCCUAUUUCUUUUUAUCUAGUAAUUUUGGAUUGAACCUUGGACUUUAUUAAUAAAAAUAUUAUAA
rnacentral:sRNA from 1 species